rnacentral:lncRNA from 1 species
AGCAGAGAGAAGCGAGGUUCCCAGUCUAAGGGACUGCGUGAGUUCGGCCGAGGGAACCGGGUCCAGGCGCUGUGAGGAGGCAAGGUUUUCAGGGGACAGGCCAACCUGGAGGACAGGAUUCCCUGGAGGCCACAGAGGAGCACCAAGGAGAAGAUCUGCCCGUGGGUCUUCAUUGCCCAGCUCCUGUACACUCCUGCCUG